rnacentral:tRNA from 1 species
UAUAUUGUGCCUGAGUGUGUAGGGACUGUUUUGAUGAAACAGAGACGGCUGUUUAGAGGCCCUUUAUAA